rnacentral:rRNA from 1 species
UACAGAGGUCUCAAGCGUUGUUCGGAUUCAUUGGGCGUAAAGGGUGCGUAGGUGGCGCGCUAAGUCAGGUGUGAAAUUUCGGAGCUUAACUCCGAAACUGCAUUUGAUACUGGCGUGCUUGAGGACUGGAGAGGAGACUGGAAUUCAUGGUGUAGCAGUGAAAUGCGUAGAGAUCAGGAGGAACACCAAUGGCGAAGGCAGCACUCUGGGACGUGACUGACGCUGAGACGCGAAAGCGUGGGGAGCAAACAGG